rnacentral:rRNA from 1 species
AGAGCGAACGCUGGCGGCAGGCCUAAUACAUGCAAGUCGAACGAGCCCUUCGGGGUUAGUGGCGGACGGGUGAGUAACACGUGGGAACGUGCCUUUUGGUUCGGAACAACUCAGGGAAACUUGAGCUAAUACCGAAUGUGCCCUUCGGGGGAAAGAUUUAUCGCCAUUAGAGCGGCCCGCGUCUGAUUAGCUAGUUGGUGAGGUAAAGGCCCACCAAGGCUACGAUCAGUAGCUGGUCUGAGAGGAUGAUCAGCCACACUGGGACUGAGACACGGCCCAGACUCCUACGGGAGGCAGCAGUAGGGAAUCUUGCGCAAUGGGCGAAAGCCUGACGCAGCCAUGCCGCGUGAAUGAUGAAGGUCUUAGGAUUGUAAAAAUUCUUUCAGCGGGGACGAUAAUGACGGUACCCGCAGAAGAAGCCCCGGCUAACUUCGUGCCAGCAGCCGC